UAGCCAGCCAGUGGAUGACUAGGUUCAGAUAGCGAAGAAGGGCGUGGGAAGCUGCGAAAAGCCCGGGGUAGGCGCAUCCAGCCUUUGAACCCGUGGAUUCCCGAAUUGCUUCGGAAGAAGCGAAGACCCGCUGAAUUGAAAUAUCUUAGUAAGCGGAGGAAAAUAAAUCAACCGAGAUUCCGUUAGUAGCGCGAGCGAAAAGGGAAUAGGGCAAACCGAACGGCCUGUGGCAACAUGGGUACGGAUGUGGUGUUCGGACCGGCGUUUAACUCCAGUGCUCUUAGCCGAAGACUCCUGAAAAGGGGCGCGACAAAGCGUGACAGCCGCGUAGGCAGUGGGGCAUUGGGUGAGCCGAGUUCCAGAGUAGCAUCGCUUGAGAAGGUGGUGUGAACGCGCGAGUCAUUGACUUGCAACCCUAAAUAUAAUCUGAAACCGAUAGCGUAUUGAGUAGCGUGAGCGAAAGUUGAAAAGCAAGCCGAAAGGCUAGUUAAAAGCGCCUGAAACUGGUUGGCCACAAGAAGACUGGGCGAUAGAGGGCCGCAAGGCAACGGCGUCCAGUCAUCCUUCUUGAAGCAAGAGCCAGGGAGUUGUAGGGAGUGGCGAGCAUUGUGCACAGCGAAAGCGAAGUCCCGCAAGGCCGCAAGGUCCCAGGGGAGACGUGGUAACUCGCGUUUAGUCACUUUUUACAGACCCGAAGCCGGAACGAACUACGCUCGAACAGGGUGAAACCGUCCUUCCGGAUGGUGGAAGCCCGCAUCCAGUGAUAGUAUAUCUUCUUGGGUGAUUUGAGUGUAGGGGUGAAAGUCCAUACGAGCCCGGCGAUAGCGGGUUCCCUCCGAAGUGUACCGCAGUACAGCCCCGAUCGAGGCGGACCAUGGGUAGAGCGACGGAUUCGAAAGAACGGGGAGUAAAAUCCUCACUUUCUUGUCCAACUCCGAAGCCAUGGUUGCUGUAGACAUUGGGAGUUGGCCAGUCCGAGUUAAGCGCGGACGGCGAGAGGGGAACGACCCCUACUGCAGUUAAGGUCCCUAAGCAGGUGCUGAGUGUUACUCAUCAAGACGUCAUGUCCCAUAGACAGCGGGGCGGUAGGAACAGAAGCUGCCAUCCGUUAAACAACGCGUAACAGCGGACCCGUCAAGGUUCGUGGCGUCGUAAACUUCCGGGACUAAGUAUCUCACCGAUACUGCAGCACACGCGGCAGAGCCGCGUGAUUGAGUAGGAGGGCGUACUGCUUGCCCCGAAGCAAGGCCGUGAGGUCUUGUGGAGCGGGUAGUAAUGAAGAUCCUGGUGCUAGUAGCAUCUAUUCCGGGCGAGAAUCCCGGACGCCGAAAGAGCAAGGGUUUCUAGCCAACGCUAGUCGGGCUAGAGUAAGCCGGUCCUAAGGCCAAGCGUAAUCGCGUAGGCCGAAAUCAGGGAAAGGCGUUAAUAAUCGCUUGCCUCUUUACGGAGCGUGGCGACACAAGGUAACAUCUGACGCCAGUGGAUAGGCCCAGUGCCCGUUGAGGGCAUUUAAAGAAACCAGGGCUCGGAAGUCUCGUUAAGAGGAGCACGAGCUUAAGUUCUGAAAACCGCAAGGUGGGUUGAGUCCAAUGGCCCUUGAAAAGGGUGUUGCAAUCCUGUAGAGAGUCCGUACCAAGAACCAGUACAGGUGCUCAGGUAGAAAAUACUAAGGCGUGGCAGGUGAACUAAGGCAAGGGAAUUCGGCAUAUUGGCCCCGUAACUUUGGGAUAAGGGGUGCCUACGCUUCUCCACUAGACGCAAGUUGAAGUGGGGACUCGUAGGUCGCAGUGACCCGCGAUGGGCAUUCAAACAAGAACCUUUUUGCGCGUUGAGGAAAAGAGAACAACCUCUGACGCCGGUACCUACCGGCAAUUUUGUGAUGUGGUUGAUAGCGUCCGAGCGCAAAAAUCAUUUUGCUCAUCGUUGGCUGCAAAACUGGGGACAUCGACUGUUUAGCAAAAACACAGAUCGCCGCAAGACGGAAACGUUGUGUACGGCGGUCGACGCCUGCUCACUGGCAGUACCUCAAACUCCUUUUCAAGGGAGCAAAGGGCUGCUAAAGAGCGGGUCUAACUGGUCUUCGCAUAUCGCGGAGGCUCAGGGCCAAACUCUGAGACUCUUAAGGUAGCGUAAUACCUCGCCGCUUAAUUGGCGGCUUGCAUGAAUGGCGUAACGAGUGUCCCGCUGUCCCUGUCUUAGACCUGGCGAACCUACUACUCGGUGAACAUGCCGAGGACUUCUAGGGGGAAACGAAGACCCCGUGGAGCUUAACCACAGUCUGUUGUUGUAAUUCGGUUGAUAAUUCGUAGCGUAAGCAGGAGCUGCUACGUCCGUCCUCGCGGGGACGGAAUAGGCGACAAUGUAACACUGCUAUUUGUUGACUGAGUUGCUCAUUGCGUCCAAAAGACGUAAGACAGCUACAGAUGGGUGGUUUGGCUGGGGCGGCACGCCUUCGAUAAAAAAACAAAGGCGCCCAAUGCUCAACUCAGGCGCGUCAGAAACCGCGUCACUCCACACUAUUUAAAUCCAAUUGCACUGAAUAAGUGCGAUUUGGGUUAUGGCAAGCUUCUUCGAAGACAUUUCAAUGCGCGUCCGCGCGUUCUUUCGUCCGCUGACUCUCGUGACUUUCAUUCUCGAGAAGUACCAGCGGAUUUUGAAGCAAAAGAACGUUUCGGCGGAAAUUCGCGGCAACGCUCUGGUCGUUCCGACCGAGCAGCUGCGG
rnacentral:rRNA from 1 species